rnacentral:rRNA from 1 species
CAGCAAAGAGGGGGACCUUCGGGCCUCUCGCGUCAGGAUUAGCCCAGGUGGGAUUAGCUUGUUGGUGGGGUAAUGGCUCACCAAGGCAACGAUCCCUAGCUGGUCUGAGAGGAUGAUCAGCCACACUGGAACUGAGACACGGUCCAGACUCCUACGGGAGGCAGCAGUGGGGAAUAUUGCACAAUGGGGGAAACCCUGAUGCAGCCAUGCCGCGUGUAUGAAGAAGGCCUUCGGGUUGUAAAGUACUUUCAGUUGUGAGGAAGGCAGUAAAGUUAAUAGCUUUGCUGUUUGACGUUAGCAACAGAAGAAGCACCGGCUAACUCCGUGCCAGCAGCCGCGGUAAUACGGAGGGUGCGAGCGUUAAUCGGAAUUACUGGGCGUAAAGCGCAUGCAGGUGGUCUGUUAAGCAAGAUGUGAAAGCCCGGGGCUCAACCUCGGGAACAGCAUUUUGAACUGGCAGACUAGAGUACUGUAGAGGGGGGGUAGAAUUUUCAGGUGUUAGCCGGUGAAAUGCGUAGAGAUCCUGAAGGAAUACCGGUGGGCGGA